UUUUUUCUCUUCUUCCCUCUCUGAGCUAGAGGCAGGGCAGAGAUUUGCAGGAGGAGCCAAGAUGGCCGAAUAGGAACAGCUCCGGUCUACAGCUCCCAGCGUGAGCGACGCAGAAGACGGUGAUUUCUGCAUUUCCAUCUGAGGAUAAUCAUCCAUCAUCCAAGCCUACGUCCUUGGGAGGAAGCCUCCGCUACCAGCAAAGGCCCAGGAGGAGGCUGGGGGUGUGUGUUUCUUUGUGAAAAAAGAUCACAGGGCUAGCAGUCAUUGUUCUGAGAACAGCAGCUCUGGUUCUUCAGCUCCCCUGACAAAUAUUCUCCAGGAUUCCAGAGCAGCAGCUGAGGCUGGAGGAGGUGAGCCUGCCAUCAGAGGGUGUUAGUGGAAAGAAGCUCUGUGGACUCUUGAAAGCAACAAAUUAUCAGUUGUAUUUGUUUUGAGGUUGUAGCAGACUAGGUAAUUGAAAGAGAGGGUGAGGAUGCUAUUAGUCUGCU
rnacentral:lncRNA from 10 species